CUGAUGACCGCGUCCGGGUCAAUUGUGAACUGCAACACCCAAUUUCUCUCCAUGUACCAGACUCGAUGUCUGUGCGAGAAGGGACACGCGUUGCCAUCAG
rnacentral:ncRNA from 1 species